CUACGGGGCGCUGCAGUGGGGAAUAUUGCACAAUGGAGGAAACUCUGAUGCAGCCAUGCCGCGUGUGUGAAGAAGGCCCGAGGGUUGUAAAGCACUUUCAAUUGGGAGGAAGGUUAUGUAGCUAAUACCUGCAUAAUUUGACGUUACCUUUAGAAGAAGCACCGGCUAACUCUGUGCCAGCAGCCGCGGUAAUACAGAGGGUGCAAGCGUUAUUCGGAAUUACUGGGCGUAAAGCGCGCGUAGGCGGAUUGUUAAGUCAGAAGUGAAAGCCCUGGGCUCAACCUGGGAACGGCAUUUGAUACUGGCAGUCUAGAGUUUAAGAGAGGGAAGGGGAAUUUCUAGUGUAGCAGUGAAAUGCGUAGAUAUUAGAAGGAACAUCAGUGGCGAAGGCGCCUUCCUGGCUUAAAACUGACGCUGAGGUGCGAAAGCGUGGGUAGCGAACGGGAUUAGAUACCCUCGUAGUC
rnacentral:rRNA from 1 species